UGGCUCAGUUGGUGAGCAUGGUGUUUGCAACGCCAGGGUUGUGGGUUCGAUUCCCAC
rnacentral:tRNA from 1 species